rnacentral:lncRNA from 1 species
UAACUAGGUAACUAUGCUCUUUGUAGAAUGUACCUGAGUAGCCAUGACAACUUCUGUAAUCUGUCACUAAAGGAACCUGACGGACUCAGAAAGUCCUGCUAGAACUCUUUGUUCUCUCCGUAUCUGCUGCUCUGCUUUGUGUAAAUCCUGCUUGCUAUAUUUCCAGGGAAAUUCCAAUGGAAUGAAGCCUCCUAUACGUAAAAAGAGAACAAUGCCAGUACAUGAAAAAAGAAAAUAUUUAGGACUUUCAAAGUUUUUAGAUCUACCAAUUGUUCAAAUGUCAUGAGAUCCUGGAAACAGAGGCUACUGGGAAAUAAUAUUUAGAAGAUACAUGCCUUGAACAUGUGCCACUUGAUGCAGUUACACAUCUUGGUCACACAGAAGAGUUAAUAAUUCCUGAAGUGAAUACUAAUGAGAAUAAUGUCCACCUUAGUCACUGAAGAAACUAAAUAAAAAAGACACUCUUAGAAAGAAUACACAAAUAAUACUUUUAAUUCAGUUCAGACUUCAAUUAGCAACAAAAUAUGUUCAACUAUAAGGUAAAUAUGAUGUAUACAUUAAGAUACAGCCUUUAUCAUUUAAUGCAUUCUAUUUUUGAAGCAGAGAUCAUCAAAAAU